GGAUGCGACCAUAUCAGCACUAUCGCAUCGAAUACCAUCAGAACUCCGAAGUGAAACGUGCUUGGGCGAGACUAGUACUAGGAUAGGUGACCCCCUGGGAAGUCCUCGUGUUGCAUCCC